rfam:Fusarium poae strain 2516 chromosome FPOA_1 Chr1, whole genome shotgun sequence.
GUCAAGAUGGCCGAGUGGUCUAAGGCGCUGCAUUCAAGAUAUCAGAUCUUGCCUGGUUACCUGGGUUCUGCAGUAUCGAAAGAUUCUUGGGUUCGAAUCCCAAUCUUGACA